GGGUGAGGAGCUGUUCCACAGCCUGCAGCCUCUGCUGGUCUCUGUGCUCAGUGACAGCACAGCUAGCCCUGCUGCCCGGCUCCACUGUGCUUCUGCUCUUGGCCUGGGCUGCUACGUGGCUGCUGCCGACAUCCAGGACCUAGUCUCUUGCCUUGCCUGCUUAGAAAGUGUUUUCAGCCGGUUCUAUGGCUUGGGUAGCUCCACGACUCCUGUGGUUCCUGCCAGCCUGCACGGCCUGCUCUGUGCUGCCCUGCAGUCCUGGGCAUUGCUGCUCACCAUCUUCCCCAGCACCCAAAUCAGCCACAUCCUUGACAGGCAGCUGCCCCGGUUGCCCCAGCUCUUGUCCAGUGAAAGUGUGAACCUGCGGAUCGCUGCCGGUGAAACCAUUGCACUGCUCUUUGAGCUUGCCCGGGACCUUGAGGAGGUGUUUGUUUACGAGGACAUGGAGGCCCUCUGCAGUGUCCUGCGCACUCUGGCCACUGACAGUAACAAGUACCGUGCCAAGGCCGAUCGCCAGCGCCAGGGCUCUACUUUCCGCGCCGUGCUGCACUCGGUGGAGGGCGGUGAACGUGAAGAAGAGAUAGUGCGCUUCGGCUUUGAGGUGCUCUACAGAGACAGCUGGGCUGGGCACCGGAUCUACACUGCCUUCAAGGAAGUGCUGGGUUCAGCUAUGCACCACCACCUCCAGAGCAAUGAGCUACUCCGUGACAUCUUUGGCCUGGGCCCUGUGCUAGUGCUGGAUGCCACUGUCCUGAAGGCCUGCAAGGUUCCACGCUUCGAGAAGCACCUGUGCAACACUGCCACCUUCAAAGCCCGGACCAAGGCUCGAAGCCGUGUGCGGAGCAAGCGGGCAGACAUCCUGUGAAGCAGGACCUGCUGAAGAGGAGACUUUCUAUGCCCUUGGUCUUGCUCCCCCAAGUUGACCCACUCUUAGGGGGGUAGUGGCAUCUGGACAAAUGCCACCACAGCAAGUGGAGAGGCAAAGCUACCUGGAAUGGAUUUGUGUGCUGAUUUUUAAGGAUUAUUAGAGAUAAUUAAACAGAAUGGUCAGGCUU